rnacentral:lncRNA from 1 species
CCUGAGAGCUCCCCACGCACAGGCUGACGUGGGUUGGGCAGGUCCUUGGGCUUUGGGGUGCACAUGGAUCCCCUUGGCUUUCCUCAAAUGGACAGCAGGCACUGCACAGCUGGGUGUUGGCCUGCCCAGGUCCAAACUUGAAAAGACACUGUCCCCUAGCUGAGCCCACCUUGAGACCUGGUCCCAUGUGAUCCUGGAGGGCAGGACAGCAGGAGCAAGCACUUUUCCAGGCAGGGCUGAGGGGAUGCAGGGCCAGGGAGAAUUAGCACAGAGAUCCUUCCCACCAAAAACAAACUCCCAGCCAGGGGGCCAGGCUGCUGUGUUGGCUUGUGUAUUGGCUUUGCUGGAUUUUUAGCUUUUCCCACUGAAAUACAUAUCCCACCUUCCCUGCAUCCAUGAUCUGCCUGCUCUGUGGAGUGGGUGUCUCCAUGCUUGUGUUCACCUUGGACACAGCAUGGCACUUAUAAACCUUGCUGACUGCAGAGGGAAGGGAGGAGCUGGGAGCAGUCUCUGCAGACAGGAGUGGACCAAGGGCUGGCUGUGCUUGGGCUACUGUGUGAAAUGCCCUGAAACUUGGAUGGGAGAAACUCACACUGCAGUUGAGAAACACUGAGUGCGUCACUGCCAUAGGCAUGGGCCUUGUAAUAUCUGUUCUCAAAGUCCUGAUGGGAGGUUCAGCUGUUGCCCCAGCUAUGAUUGGUAAAGGGAUAAUUUCUGCUUCAGGAGCUGGAGCUAACACUGACCUCAAUAUGACCAUGAAAGACACAAGAGGUCUCCUCCAAAGGCCCAUAAACAGAGCUAAGGGUUCUACAAGCAGCUUUCACUGGAGCUACAGGGGUUCUACUUGUCCAGGUUCCUGUCCCACUGCUGGCCUCCUGGACCUCCAGCCUCAGCUCAGCCUGGGCAGUCCUGCUGCUCCUCUCCCAAAGAGAAGAUGGAGACUGAGACCAACAGCUAGGUCCCUCCUGGCCCUGUGCUGUGUGUGUGGCUCCCACUAACCACCUUGUGUGCUUCCCUGCCUUGAGCCCUGGAGAUACAAAUAUAUGUAGCUAAUCACCUCUUUUCAGUCACUCAUUCAUUUAACAAAUUAUACAUUUGAUACAUACAUAUGAAGCAUUUGUUCAUCAUGUUAGGUCUUCCACCAUGGCAGGACAUGGGGAAUGUUGUAAACAUGACUUUGUCCUAGACCUCUAGGACCUUUCAGGCUCCCAAGAGCUUCAGCAGAUGUAUUCGCCGGGUUUUCCUCAUAGGCUAUUUAUGCAGAAAAGAGAGGUUUAUGCCUCUCAGUUUGGGGAGUUCAAAGCUAUGGCACCUCCAUUGGCUAAUAUAGUGUAAAAACUACAAUGAAAGCAUGGGUUGCAGUUAAGGACAAGGGGAGGGCUGGGAAGGAAAAUAAAGCACGUUAUUACAUGCAUGAAUACAAGGAAAAAAACUCAAUAUUCCCUAUCAUGAAUAUGCACUAAUAAAUUUGUUGGCAGAGUUUCAGAUUCCAUGCUGCAAAUAUAAAGAAAUGAACCCUGGAAUCUGUGCGUUGAGCUUCUCAGUAAAGAUGAGGGGCCGUUUGGGCAGUGGUGAGUGGUGAUUUCAGUUGUCUGAACUGGGGAGACAGGGCGGUGCCCCUGAGCCUCAAUGUGCACCUGUUAGGCGUUUGCCAGGACACUGCUGGACCUGUAUGGUGCGAUGUUCUAGAGUGUAGGUAACCACGGCAGCACCCACAGGUGGCACCUGGAUAGUUCUGUUCACAGACACAGAAGGAAGCCUGUCAGUUUUGGGGCUCUCCUGGGGAGCCAGUGUGGACAGGGGCAGUUUAGGUCCAGGUGGGGGCUGUGUUUGCAUGACAGUGUGAAUUUGAAGUAGAAAACUGUACAUUUGAAAAUGGUUGGGAUGGUUGUGCUUAUUUUAUUACAAUGAAAUAUAAUAAACAAUUUACUAUUUUUUUUAAAGAACACCCAGGUCUAGGAAGCAUCACCAAGUUUUAAAACCCCCAGGUGCCCCCUCUCCCUGUUCCUACAGGAGGCUACAACCCCCACUGUGAUACUGAUUACUACCUUGUCUCUAUAUUCCAGUCACAUAUCUGCAUAUCAGUGCUCCUAAACAAAAGGGAAGAGUUAUCAGGGUUACUCAGGCUCCAAGUUCAUCCUGGGUCCUGGUGGCCCUGGCAGGGCACAGGCUCCUGGGUGGGGCACCUUGCCCACACUGCUGCAGUCUUGAACAGCAUGGAAGAUAGACCUGGGAGAGAAGUGUGUACAUCUGUGUGAGGUCACACGGGCUGUGUAUACAGCAAACAGGAAAUUCUGGCAGGUGAGACGAUCACAAGUUCUAGGCCCACCUGGAUGACCCAUGGAAGAAGAGCGAGGUGGGGGAAAGGUGCAUAACUCAUGGUGGCCAGGAAGCUGACUGGGGGCAAGGUGCCAGAGAGGAAGGGGACAGGGACCAGACCUGCCUGUACCUGAGGCCUCUGUAACUCACCCAGAAGUGUGCUCCACCAGUCUCCAGGGUGGGUCCCAAAGCCAAUCAAGCUGACACAGUGGGGUUUAACUGUCACACAGACAUAGAUAUUCUCACCCCACUAACAGAUGAGGAAAUGGACUCUGAGGGAGCCCUUCUCAGAAACACACUCACUGCUCAGUGGACAAGAGACUGACUCCCAGCCUCCUGAUACACAGCCCAGCACUUUCUCCUAUCGCAGGGUGCUUGCCCACAGUUUCUCUUCUCCCUGAAUGGCUCCAACCCCAUUGAUGAGCCCCAGGCAGGAAAAGGCAAAGACAGCACUCUGCUGACUGGCGGCAGCCUGUGCUGGGCCUCCUUCCUGGGAGAGCAUGGGGUAGGGAUCCUGGGGAGAUGUACUUCCCUCCAUAAGCAGGAGAACCUAGAGUGUUUUAUAAUAAAAAAAAUGAACAAAGGUCCCAUUUAAGAAUCUAUUGCCCUUCUCUCUUUCACUCAUCUUUUACUGGCUAUAAGUGUAUAGUGUUAAUUAAUAGGACAAAGGUAUUUAGAGUAGCUUAGAAUGUUAAAGAAAAUAUCAUUAUAGCUUUCAUAAGGAAAUGCACUAAAUGAUACCCCCGAGGGAAAAUUCUGACUGGACUAUAUAUAUAAACCUAAAACUGAGAGAAAGUAUUGUUGUAAUUUCACAUCUCAAAGUGAGCUCAGAUUUAAUGUGAUUGUUUUGUAAUAUGCAUGUUUUGUCUUCCUAUUAAUAUAUGCUUUUAUCAGUUGGUUAAAGUGCCUAGAGUGGUUUCAUUCUUUUUUUUUUUUUUCUUGAACUCAUCUUAAUUUAUUUUUCUUUCUUUCUUUUUUGGUACCAGGGAUCGAACUCAGCAGGCAGCCACUGAGCUAAAACCCCAGCCCUCUUUUUUUAUCUUUGCUGUUAGAGAUUUCUGGAUCUGCUAAGACCUUGCAUAAAAAAAAUAGUUAUACAGAUAUCCAAGGAUUACCAAACUCCCUUAAAAAGAGGACAAAAACUACUAGGCUGAAGACUUAUGUGAAACUUGCAAAUAAGAAUCUUAAAUUUCAGUAACAUAAAGAUUUUGUAAUUUAGGUUAAUAUGUAUGUUUCUGUGCAUUCAUUGUCAGGUAUAUUUUAUCCUUCAAAAGUUUAAGUUGGCUUAUAAACAAAUGAUGUAUAUUAACCCAAAUACUUUGUUCCCAUGACUUAAAGUGAGCUGGUUCAAAUUGGUUGGUAAGAU